rnacentral:tRNA from 1 species
CGCAUCGUAGCUUAAUCGGUAAAGCGCCGGCCUCAUAAGCCGGGUGAUGCGGGUUCAACUCCCGCCGGUGCUACCA